CGCAGGGUUAGUCGGCCCCUAAGGCGAGGGCGAAAGCCGUAGUCGAUGGGAAUCAGGUAAAUAUUCCUGAACCAGGUGGUAGUGACGGAUUCAGUAAAUUGUAACUCCUUAUUGGAUUGGAGUUGCCGUGAAUGAGUCCCAGGAAAUAGCUCCACCAUUAGACCGUACCCGAAACGGACACACGUGUACCGGUAGAGUAUACCUAGGCGCUUGAGAGAAUGAUGUUGAAGGAACUCGGCAAAUUGCUUCCGUAACUUCGGAAUAAGGAAGGCCCAUGUUUAGGCAACUAGAUUUGGGCGGCACAAGCUAGGGAGAAGCGACUGUUUAUCAAAAACACAGGUCUCUGCUAACACGUAAGUGGAUGUAUAGGGGCUGACGCCUGCCCGGUGCUGGAAGGUUAAGGCAAGAUGUGCAAGCAUUGAACCGAAGCCCCAGUGAACGGCGGCCGUAACUAUAACGGUCCUAAGGUAGCGAAAUUCCUUGUCGGGUAAGUUCCGACCUGCAUGAAUGGCGUAACGAUUUCUCCACUGUCUCCAACAUCAACUCAGCGAAAUUGAAUUCUCCGUGAAGAUGCGGAGUUCCCGUGGUUAGACGGAAAGACCCCGUGCACCUUUACUACAACUUUACAUUGGUAUUAGAAAUGACAUAUGUAGCAUAGGAGGGAGACUUUGAAGUUCUGGCGCCAGCUAGAAUGGAGUCAUCAGUGAAAUACCUCUUUUGUUAUUUUUGAUAUCUAACUGCAAGCCGUCAUCCGGCUGCAAGACACUGUAUGGUGGGUAGUUUGACUGGGGCGGUCGCCUCCCAAAGAGUAACGGAGGCGUGCGAAGGUAGGCUCAGAUCGGUCAGAAAUCGAUCGUUGAGUGCAAUGGCAUAAGCCUGCCUGACUGCGAGACUGACAAGUCGAGCAGAGUCGAAAGACGGUCAUAGUGAUCCGGUGGUUCUGAAUGGAAGGGCCAUCGCUCAACGGAUAAAAGGUACGCCGGGGAUAACAGGCUGAUACCCUCCAAGAGUUCAUAUCGACGAGGGUGUUUGGCACCUCGAUGUCGACUCAUCACAUCCUGGGGCUGGAGCAGGUCCCAAGGGUUUGGCUGUUCGCCAAUUAAAGUGGUACGUGAGUUGGGUUCAGAACGUCGUGAGACAGUUCGGUCCCUAUCUGCCAUGGGUGUAGAAGAAUUGAGAGGAGUUGCCCCUAGUACGAGAGGACCGGGGUG
rnacentral:rRNA from 1 species